UGGGGAAUUUUGGACAAUGGGCGCAAGCCUGAUCCAGCCAUGCCGCGUGCGGGAAGAAGGCCUUCGGGUUGUAAACCGCUUUGUCAGGGAAGAAAUCUUCUGAGUUAAUACCUCGGGGAGGAUGACGGUACCUGAAGAAUAAGCACCGGCUAACUACGUGCCAGCAGCCGCGGUAAUACGUAGGGUGCAAGCGUUAAUCGGAAUUACUGGGCGUAAAGCGUGCGCAGGCGUUUUGUAAGACAGAGGUGAAAUCCCCGGGCUCAACCUGGGAACUGCCUUUGUGACUGCAAGGCUUGAGUGCGGCAGAGGGGGGAUGGAAUUCCGCGUGUAGCAGUGAAAUGCGUAGAUAUGCGGAGGAACACCGAUGGCGAAGGCAAUCCCCGUGGGCCUGCACUGACGCUCAUGCACAAAGCGUGGGGAGCAAACAGGAUUAGAUA
rnacentral:rRNA from 1 species